AUCCUUUUGUAGUUAGUGAGUUUAAUGACUGGGUGUUCACGCACUUGCGUGAGAUGUGCCACCCUCAAACUUUGUUACGAUGUCAGCUCAUUACCUAACUUGAAA
rfam:Callithrix jacchus chromosome 2, whole genome shotgun sequence